UGAUCAGGUGUGUGUAGAGAAGUACUGGCUAGGGGCUGAUCAGGUGUGUGUAGAGACAGUACUGGCUAGGAGCUGAUCAGGUGUGUGUAGAGACAGUACUGGCUAGGGGCUGAUCAGGUGUGUGUAGAGACAGUACUGGCUAGGGGCUGAUCAGGUGUGUGUAGAGACAGUACUGGCUAGGGGCUGAUCAGGUGUGUGUAGAGACAGUACUGGCUAGGGGCUGAUCAGGUGUGUGUAGAGACAGUACUGGCUAGGGGCUGAUCAGGUGUGUGUAGAGACAGUACUGGCUAGGGGCUGAUCAGGUGUGUGUAGAGACAGUACUGGCUAGGGGCUGAUCAGGUGUGUGUAGAGACAGUACUGGCUAGGGGCUGAUCAGGUGUGUGUAGAGAAAGUACUGGCUAGGGGCUGAUCAGGUGUGUGUAGAGAAAGUACUGGCUAGGGGCUGAUCAGGUGUGUGUAGAGACAGUACUGGCUAGGGGCUGAUCAGGUGUGUGUAGAGACAGUACUGGCUAGGGGCUGAUCAGGUGUGUGUAGAGACAGUACUGGCUAGGGGCUGAUCAGGUGUGUGUAGACACAGUACUGGCUAGGGGCUGAUCAGGUGUGUGUAGAGACAGUACUGGCUAGGGGCUGAUCAGGUGUGUGUAGAGACAGUACUGGCUAGGGGCUGAUCAGGUGUGUGUAGAGAAAGUACUGGCUAGGGGCUGAUCAGGUGUGUGUAGAGACAGUACUGGCUAGGGGCUGAUCAGGUGUGUGUAGAGACAGUACUGGCUAGGGGCUGAUCAGGUGUGUGUAGAGACAGUACUGGCUAGGGGCUGAUCAGGUGUGUGUAGAGACAGUACUGGCUAGGGGCUGAUCAGGUGUGUGUAGAGACAGUACUGGCUAGGGGCUGAUCAGGUGUGUGUAGAGACAGUACUGGCUAGGGGCUGAUCAGGUGUGUGUAGAGACAGUACUGGCUAGGGGCUGAUCAGGUGUGUGUAGAGACAGUACUGGCUAGGGGCUGAUCAGGUGUGUGUAGAGACAGUACUGGCUAGGGGCUGAUCAGGUGUGUGUAGAGACAGUACUGGCUAGGGGCUGAUCAGGUGUGUGUGGAGACAGUACUGGCUAGGGGCUGAUCAGGUGUGUGUAGAGACAGUACUGGCUAGGGGCUGAUCAGGUGUGUGUGGAGACAGUACUGGCUAGGGAAUGAUCAGGUGUGUGUAGAGACAGUACUGGCUAGGGGCUGAUUUGGUUCAUUACAGUACAUUGUAGGUAUGUUUUUAUUUGAUACAUGGUCAAGUGUCAUCAUUAGGGUCAGGUGGUGUCCCUCACUGGAAAACCCCAGUUGAGGAAAAACACCUGACCCUACUUACCACAUGACCUCCAGUUAACAAGAGCAUUGUUACAGGAUGUGAGACACCCAGGGGUGAGCUGGGUAAUGUUUUUCAUCCAAACGCAUCUCUCACACGGUCACACACUGGCCUUGAAAACAACAUGGGAAUGAGAUUCUGUGUAGUGAAACAUGGAAUGUCAAUAAGAUAACAAAGAACAUACAAUAUGAUUACCUGAACAUAUCUGCACAAUAAAAGUGCAUUCGUUUCAAUUCACCCUGAAUGGAAAAAAAAGACAAAACAAUAUUUAACAAACACAAAAAAGCAAGAACAUCAAUCGUGUAUCUGAGGUGCAAAACAGAUUGUUCUUCAUCAGGUAGAAAAGAAUACAAAGUCAAUCAAUCAUGAGCAUAAAAGAGAGCGAAACAGAUGAAAUAGGGAGAACAAGAUCGCAGAGGGAAU